rnacentral:rRNA from 1 species
CACGUCGAGCGGCUGAGGGAAAGUAGCUUGCUACUUUUGCCGGCGAGGGGCGGACGGUGGAUUAAUGCCUGGCAAAUUGCCCAGUCACAGCGGGAUAACAGGUGGACUCGACUGCUAUUACCCCUUACGCCCUACGGGGGAAAGCAUGGGACCUUCCGGUCUUGCACGAUUGGAUAUGCCAUUGUGGGAUUAGCUUGGUGGUGAGGCAAUGGCUCAACAAUGCGACGAUGCCUAGAUGGGCUGAUAGGAUGAUCUGCCACUGAGGAACUGACACCCCUCCCACACUCCGACGGAAGGCAGAAUUGUGGAAUAUGGGACAAUGGCUGAUACCCUGAUGCCGCCAGGCCGAGGGUGGGAUGAAGGCCGUCGGGUUGUUUAGCUCUUUCAGCGAGGAGGAAAGGUUGAUACCUAAUACGUAUCAGCUGUGACCUUACUCGCAGACGAAGCACCCGCUAACUCCGUGCCAGGUGCCGCGGAGGUAGGGAGGGUGCAUGCGAUAAUCGGAAUUACUGGUGGUAGAGCGCACGCAGGCGGUUGGAUUAGUUAAAUGUGAAAGUCCCGGUGUCAACCUGGGAAUUGCGUUUAAAACUGUCCAGCUAGACUCUUGUAGAGGGGGGUACAAUUCCCAGUGUACUGGUUAACUGCGUAGAGAGCUGGAACUAUCCCGGUGGCUAAU